UGAGUGCGUGAAGAUUUUAACCGCCUCUAACAUUUUAUUAGGUAAUUCGUCACUAACGAUUAUAAUUCUAAUGCAUAGACUAAUUCAAGCAUUUUACAUUCUUCUAAGAAGAAAAUGUGACCAUGGAUCUAUGCCACGUACACAGAUACUAAAAUUUAUUAUCUCUGAAUACAUCGAAGCACGCCGCAGAGGAUGACAUGCCCACGGACAACAGCAACCCCUGAUCAUGCGAGUGUUUUUGGUGGCAUGUGCAUGCUCUGCUCUCUUUUCGGACUGGAAUUUGAGUUCGUGGUAAAAUUCCCACGACAUUUCUCAUGUUAAUAUUGUUAUUAACAUGAGCUCUCCCCUU
rnacentral:lncRNA from 1 species